UACAGAGGGGGCAAGCGUUGUUCGGAAUCACUGGGCUUAAAGGGCGCGUAGGCGGGUGUGCAAGUCUGUGGUGAAGGCCUCCAGCUUAACUGGAGAAGUGCCAUGGAUACUGCACAUCUUGAGGAGGGUAGGGGCAUCUGGAACGGUCGGUGGAGCGGUGAAAUGCGUUGAUAUCGACCGGAGCUCCGGUGGCGAAGGCGAGGUGCUGGACCCUUUCUGACGCUGAGGCGCGAAAGCCAGGGGAGCAAACGGG
rnacentral:rRNA from 1 species